AUGGCGCUGGCGGCCGCCCGAGCGCGGACUCUGCGCGCCCUCAGCCGCCCGCGCCCCCCGGUGCCGGUGCCGUCCCGGAGCCGCUGCAGCCCGGCGGGGGCUCCCGGGGCGCUGCCGCCCGGCGGGUACCGGGCCUGGCGGGAGCGGGCGGCCCGCGACCCCGCCGGGUUCUGGGCGGACGUGGCGCGGGGCUGGCUGCGCUGGGACAGUCCCUUCCACACGGCCUGGCAGCCCGGCGACACCGCCGGCUCCGCCCGCUGGUUCCUCGGCGGCCGCCUCAACGUCUCGGUAAAUUGCUUGGAUCAGCACGUCGAAAAGUCUCCAAACAGAGUGGCUUUGAUUUGGGAGAGAGAUGAACCUGGCACUGCAGUGCAUGUCACAUACAGGGAACUUCAGGAUCUGACUUGCCGCCUUGCCAACACCCUGAAGAAGUAUGGGAUCCAGAAAGGGGACAGGGUGGCCAUCUACAUGUCUGUGUCCCCGCUGUCGGUGGCUGCCAUGCUGGCCUGUGCCAGGAUCGGUGCUGUUCACACCGUGGUCUUCGCUGGAUUCAGCGCCGAGUCCUUGGCUGGCAGGAUCAUGGACUCUGGAUGCAAAGCAGUUAUCACAUACAACCAAGGAGUCAGGGGAGGCCGGACCAUAGAGCUGAAGGCAACUGUGGAUGAAGCUGUGAAGAACUGUCCAAGCAUCAAACAUGUGUUUGUGGCUCAGAGGACUGAUAACAAAGUCCACAUGGGUGACCGUGAUAUUCCCCUUGAGGAGGAGAUGAGCAAGGCAGAUUCCGUCUGCCCUCCAGAGAGCAUGGACAGUGAAGAUGUGCUCUUCAUGCUGUACACCUCAGGCAGCACUGGGAAACCCAAAGGAAUUGUUCACACCCAGGCUGGGUACCUGCUCUAUGCUGCUCUCACACACAAGUAUGUGUUUGACUACCAGCAAGGCGAUGUUUUUGGCUGUGUGGCCGACAUUGGCUGGAUCACAGGACACAGCUAUGUUGUGUAUGGACCACUCUGCAAUGGAGCCACCUCUGUCCUGUUUGAAAGCACUCCCGUGUACCCAGACCCAGGUCGUUACUGGGAAGUGGUGCAAAGGUUGAAGAUUAAUCAGUUCUACGGCGCACCUACGGCGAUACGCCUGCUGCUGAAUUAUGGAGAAGAGUGGGUGAAGAAAUAUGACAGAUCCUCCCUGAGGGUUUUGGGUUCAGUGGGAGAGCCCAUCAACAAGGAAGCUUGGCAGUGGUUCUACCAGGUGGUGGGAGAAGGGCGCUGUACCCUCGUGGACACGUGGUGGCAGACAGAAACCGGUGGCAUCUGCAUUGCCCCACGUCCCUCAGAGGAGGAAGCUGAGAUCGUUCCAGCCAUGGCUAUGAGACCUUUCUUUGGGAUUGUGCCUGUGCUCAUGGAUGAGAAUGGAGAGGUGAUAGAGGGCAAUGAUGUGUCUGGUGCCCUCUGCAUUGCCCAGCCAUGGCCUGGCAUGGCCAGAACAAUCCAUGGAGAUCACCAGCGCUUCAUUGAUGCCUAUUUCAAAGCCUACCCAGGUUACUACUUCACAGGGGAUGGUGCUUACAGGAGCCACCAAGGCUACUACCAGAUCACAGGGCGCAUGGACGAUGUCAUUAACAUCAGUGGGCACAGGCUGGGCACGGCAGAAAUUGAAGAUGCAAUGGCUGAUCACCCUGAGGUCCCUGAGACAGCUGUGGUUGGGUAUCCACACAAGAUCAAAGGAGAAGGUGCCUUUGCUUUCAUCGUGCUAAAGGAGCAGACAGCUCGUGUAGACCACAUCAAAGAAGAGCUCAAAGCCAUAGUGGCUUCCAAGAUAGCAAAGUAUGCAGUGCCUGACCACAUCCUGGUGGUGAAGCGCCUCCCUAAAACCCGAUCUGGGAAGAUCAUGAGGAGGCUGCUGAGGAAAGUAGUGACUGAGCAAUCAAGCAACAUGGGAGAUGUCACCACUCUUGAUGAUCCAAGUGUUGUCAAGGAGAUACUGGAUGCAUACCAGAAGUACAAGGAGAAGAAUUCCUCGUAACAGGCGGCUCUGGAAUUUCUCUCCUUCGGAAAUGCGGAAGGUCUCAAAUAACCAGGAAAACAGCACAGCUCUCUCUUGGUGGUUUUUUAAAAAACUGUUUCCUUCUAGGGGAACAAGAUUUUCCAAUCCACAACAUUUUUUGGGGUGGCACAGGGCUAGGAGCAGCUUGCAGUUUUCCACCAUCAGUGAACUCCUUUUCCUUGUGCUCAGGGCUGUGUGGAGCAGCUGUUGGUGGUUUCCAUGAGCUGUGCUGAAAUUUAACACGAGCUAAAGCAAGAUGCAGAUGCUCUUUUUAUUGUUCCUCUUUCUAAUGUUACUGUACAGAGAAAUGUUUUUUACACCAUGCUUCUUGCUGUUUUAAAAGAAGCCCUGGAAAACACUUCUUCAACGUUUUCCCUUCAGCUUGGAUAUCUGAGUGUAAGCAGCUGUAUUUCACUGCAACUCUGGUGCCUUUCCAGCAAUUCUGGCUAUUCCAGAAGGUGUUUCAUGUGCAUUAUUUACUAGGGACAUGAGAAGGCCAUGGCCACUCUGAUAAUUCUUCCUUGACUUUACCCAUUAUUCUAAUAUCUCCUUUCCUCAUAUGGAUUUGUUGCUGCCACCACGUGUCCUGGGACUUCCCAGAGAUGGUGAGCCUGUGACCCUUCAGGUCCCACCUUGGUAACCCAGCACCAGCACUUGCAGCUGCAAAAAGGAGCCACAAAUCCCCCCCAAUGACUGGAUUUCCUCCAUAUCCUCAGUGCACUGCUGCCAUGCUGAUUUACCAAAGAGUUAAGUGCCACAAACUGCACAGUCCUCUAAAACAAGUGCCUCUUGCCUUCUGGAAAGUGAAGCAGCAUUCCAGACCAGCAACCUCAGAACAGCAGGGAAAAACAGCCUUUGUCAUUCCUGUGCUUUCAAGAUUGCAAUUAAUGUAGUCAGUGUUUUAUCUCUGGACUCAUUUUAUCAUGACCACAUUCCAGUUGAAGUGCUCCUUACAUUUGGGCUGUACAGAGGAAUUUGCUAGUAGGGUUAUUUAUUCCUGAAUUUAAUUGGAGCAACACUGCUUUUUCCAGGGGAAUUGUGUACCAGAAGGACAAUUUGUGCACCCAGCUGGAGGCAGGGAAGGCAGGAGGGAAAUGGGGAGGUGAUCUGUAGGACUGGGAAAGGUGUGGGGAGUUUUUUGGCCAGCAAAGAUUCUGGUACCACAAGGGGAAGCAGGUAUGAUAUGUUCUCAAAGACAGGUGUGGUGCCUUAGAUCUCAGAGUUCCACCAGCUGCAUUUGCUUUUUUUAAAAAAAUUAUUUUAAAUGUCUCUAGGGACUGAAUAAUACAGUAAAGAAUACCAUGCUUGGUUAAAUAUCCCAUCCUUCUGACUGACAUGCAUUUACAUAAGGUAAGUAGACACCCUGUGGACUUGCUGGGAAGUUGAAGAUCAGAAGGUUUGAAGGUUUGACAGGAUGUUAAUAUUUUAGGAGAUAGACAGUAAUUUAUUGCCAUUGCAAUGGAAAAAAGAAAAGACCCAACCUGCUUCCUUAAGUAAUUUUCAAGUGGGAAGCAGACAAGAGUUAAUGUUUUUGACAGAAAAAGUGCUCUCACUUGUUUAAACAAGUUGUCUCCACACAGUCUGAAAUAGCAAUGUGGAGGAAGAAAAAUUACUUUUGAACAAGAUUAUACACUUUUCCUUUAAUCAAGAAAGCAUUUCUUAUAUUAUGGACAUAGAAUUUCCUUGUCUUGUUGACCUGAAAUUUCCCUGUGUGUUGUCCCAGUGGUCACAGACCCAUGGUUUAAUCCAUCUGAACUUUCACAAGCACUGUCUGUGUGAGGAGCAAUGUGCUUUGGUGCCUUGGGACAUUUGUCAUCCAAUUCCUCUGCUCAGGAAAAUGAGAGGCCUGACUGGCUCCCCUCUUGCCAAGAGGUUUUUCCUGGCCAGUCCCUCCAUGCUCCUUCCCUCCAAGCCAUUGCCUCCCAUCCGGAAGAGCUCCCUUUCAACCAAGCCAAGCAAGAUAUUGAGCAGAGAGCUGGAGAUUGGCAAAAAUGUCACCAGUUAUUAUGAGGACAGUAGGAAAACCCAGGAGCAGAGUUCAGAGAGAAAAGGACAUAAGGUUCUCCUGACGCCCAUAUGUCCCAGUGUUGGGGUUGUGAAGAAGAGGUCACUGCUGCCACCUUUGAUCCCCCCUAUAGGCAAGGCAGGCAGUCCAGCCCUUGGCAACCUGACUGAGCGUGGUGAUCCCAAAAAAUUUUUCCUGGACAUUCCCUAUGUGCCCUUACGGGCCAAGCUCUUGCCUCCCAUCCAGAAGAGUUCUCUUUCUUCUGAGCCCAGUAAGAUGUGCAAGAAGAAGAAGAAGAGUUCUCUUUCUUCUGAGCCCAGUAAGAUGUGCAAGAAGAAGAAGAAGAAGACGAAGGAAUGUAGGGAAAAUCUCACAGUCUCUGAUGACAGCUGUCGGAAUAAGGAGCUGAUUUCAGCAGGAAAAGGAUGUAAGGUCAGGAAAGAAAGCAAAAUCCUGUGUGGUAGAUUUUCAGUUUAUGUUCUGUAGGGAGCUCUGAGCCGUUUUCCUGUGCUGUGAGCCCAGGGGAGCAGCUGGGCCAAGGAAGAGCUCAGCUGGACACUGUGCUUCAGGCUGUCUUUGCAAUGGGUGUGUAGGGCAGAAUGGGUGUGUAGUGCAGUCCUCAGCAGGUAACAAUAACAGGAGAGGUCUUUGAAUGGUUUCUGGGCUCUGUGGUGGUUCCUCCUCUGUCUCAUGCCUGAGAAAGCACCAACAAGGAGUCAGAGCACCUCAAGUUGUCCAACCUGGCCAAGUGUAUCUCGGUCUAUCCCUCACCAUUUCUCUUUCUAUUCCGUAUCCUAGGCCAAGCUGCUUCAUCAGUCUGACUCUUCUUUUCCUGCCCAAGCCCCAGCUAAGAGCAUGGCUGAAUUUCCUGAGGCAUCAAAUGGGGCGAGGCUGGAUGCUUGAGCUGAGCAGAGUGCUGUGCUCUUUCCAGGUUUCCUUGAUGCCUGUGUGUCCCAGUGCUGGGGUUAUGAAGAAAUGGUCGCUGGGACUGCCUGUAAUCCCCCCUAUCCCCAAGGCAAACCAUCCAGCUCUUGGCAGGGAGGGGCAGGCUGAGCAUGGCUCAGCCUCACACAGAGGUGAGGGGGAGCUGGGGUGGGAGGAAGGCUCUUGUGGCAGCCCAGAGAGGCUGUGCCCAUUGCCAGGGAUCAUUUGUGCCCUGCGUGUGCCCCCUGCAAGGAGCAGGAGCAUGUUUCCCUCCUGUGCAGCUGUUUACAAGUUUCCAAGGAAUCUGUCCCAUGAAAUACGGAGCUUCAGAUGCUUUAGGUUUGCAUUGCAGGCUCUGAUCCAUUUUGUGUCUUCACUUUGCAGGCCUGACUGGCUACCCUUUUUCCAAGAAGUUUUCCCUGGACACCUCCUAUGUUCCCUUACCCUUAUCUUACCCCAAGUACUUGCCUCCCAUCCCCAAGAGCUCUCUUUCCUCUGAUCUCAGGAAGAAGCUGCCACCUGUCCAAAGAGUAUUUAAAAAAUAAGAUUUAUGUGUUAGGUUUCAUAGUCAACAGAUAUUCUAUAUGUUCUGUAUGUUCUGAUAUUUAGAUGUAAUUUGAAUACGUGUGUUUUGAUUG